rnacentral:pre_miRNA from 1 species
GUAAUACUCCCUCCGUCCGGAAAUAAUUGUCCUAAAGAUGAAUGUAUCUCGACUUAUUUUAGUUAUAGAUACAUCCAUUAUAUCCAUUUUUAUGACAAGUAUUUCCGGACGGCGG